UAAUUUCUAGGCUGAUUUCUUUCAAGUGGAAAAUGGUAUUUAGAAGCCAAGACCUUGGUGCUUGGUGUCCUCACAGGCAUUGUAUCUUUCAGAGAGAACACUUUCAUUUAUGCUAGAAAGAAAUAUGUACACACAUCUACAUUUAUUUAUAUUAAAAACAUGAGUUCAAAUGACUUCCCCGAUUCUCACUAAGGCCACAGGGUUUGUUCCCUUUCCACAUGUGUAAUUACUGUCACUACCCACGAGAAAUAUGGCUUCUGUUGUCCUUAGUAUGCUUCCUGUUUGCCCAGUCUUUUGCUUGUAAUCAAUCUCCUACCCACACAGAUCACCUUCUUUGCCCCAGGCUCACCAAACAAGCUGAUUGGAGCAGCCAAAUCUCCGUCUCAGCCACGACCACAUCAGCUAUACUGGCUGAAUCCUCCAUCCAGAUCGAAGGACCACAUGGCAGGAGCUCCAGGAGAGUCUUAUUUAUAGUGAUGUUUUGGAACCAAAGUCCUCCAUCUCUGGGAUAGGCGCAGGCUGACUGUGGCAUUGGAACCCUACCACUAGCAGCUAAAAUAACAUUCUGAACCAUGAAUUUGCCAGCCAUAUUUCAAAGAAACAUGUAUCUGACGAUUUGGUCCAGGACUAUUUUGAGAUGUCUGCAUAUGUUCCAAGGACUACAAAACUUGCUGAUAUCAGUAAUAUACUUGGAGUUCUCCAAACAAUGAAGGAAUAUUUAAAAUACUAAAUUAAAUUUCUAUUUAAAAUCUAUAUCUAAAAAAUUUAAAAGCUGAUUAGGGGAGAGAGAGAGAGAACGAACCUGAAAAUAUAAGUAAAUGUUCCAAACAAGCAAUGCUCUCGGAUGUGAGAAUAAGAUAGACAAUUCUGCAAGGCAAUCUGUAUAUAUGUUGGGAGUGAGAGCAGAGUACCUCCUAAUUUCAUUGAGAAAACUAGAAUUUUAAAAAAUAAUUAUGUGAUAAAAGUUUUACAACUAUAAGCUCAUUUGAUCCUUAGGAUAAUCUGGUGACAUAAGCUCAGGCUAAAUCUACUAUUCCCAUUUCAUAGAUAAUGGAAUGGGAUUUAGUAGAGUCUCACUGUAAGUCCACUAUAUAGCUGUGCCUUGUCCAGUCCAGGUUUAUGCUUCCUCCCUACCCUCACACCAGGCACUGAGAAGCUAACAUAAUGAAUAUGCUAAUAUGAUACCAUUAUUAAUUGAAGUAUUAAUUCAACAAACAUUUUAAAUGCCAAAUCCAUGGCAAACCCUGCCUUCAAGAGGUUUACAGUCCAAUGGAGGGAGCAAAUAUUUAACAGACAAAAGAGCAUAUGAAAAGCUCUAAAUGAAAUGGAAUCACAGAAAGGAAUACCUGAUUGCACCCAGCAUAUUAGACUACAUUGCCCUAAAAGGAUAGUUAACCUUAGUGAGUCUUUAAAAAGGAGGCCAAAGUAGGUUCUUGAUAGGGUGUCUUCCCCAGCAUUUUCUGCUCUGAUUCUAAAGUCCAGUACCAGUCAGCAAGGAAACAAACAAACAAACAAACAAACUACACUCCUACUGUGAAGAAAAGCAAUUCAUCUAGUCUUAUAACCAGGCAGGUAUUUCCACCCUCUUCUGCUCACUUACUGAGCUAACCAAACAACCUUUCAAAUAGUAUUUAGGAACAUGGGGUUAAUCCAUUCGAGCAA